rnacentral:rRNA from 1 species
GAUGAACGCUGGCGGCGUGCCUAAUACAUGCAAGUCGAGCGAACAGACGAGGAUCUUGCUCCUCUGACGUUAGCGGCGGACGGGUGAGUAACACGUGGAUAACCUACCUAUAAGACUGGGAUAACUUCGGGAAACCGGAGCUAAUACCGGAUAAUAUAUUGAACCGCAUGGUUCAAUAGUGAAAGACGGUUUUGCUGUCACUUAUAGAUGGAUCCGCGCCGCAUUAGCUAGUUGGUAAGGUAACGGCUUACCAAGGCAACGAUGCGUAGCCGACCUGAGAGGGUGAUCGGCCACACUGGAACUGAGACACGGUCCAGACUCCUACGGGAGGCAGCAGUAGGGAAUCUUCCGCAAUGGGCGAAAGCAUGACGGAGCAACGCCGCGUGAGUGAUGAAGGUCUUCGGAUCGUAAAACUCUGUUAUUAGGGAAGAACAAAUGUGUAAGUAACUAUGCACGUCUUGACGGUACCUAAUCAGAAAGCCACGGCUAACUACGUG